UGAUGGCGAGCGGCGGACGGGUGAGGAAUACGUAGGAACCUGCCCUUAAGCGGGGGACAACCAAGGGAAACUUUGGCUAAUACCGCAUAAUCUCGAGAGAGGAAGGCUGCCCCCGGACUUGAUCCGGGGGUGGCACUUGAGGAGGGGCCUGCGUCCGAUUAGCUAGUUGGCAGGGUAAAAGCCUACCAAGGCAAUGAUCGGUAACUGGUCUGAGAGGACGGCCAGUCACACUGGGACUGAGACACGGCCCAGACUCCUACGGGAGGCAGCAGUGGGGAAUAUUGGACAAUGGGGGCAACCCUGAUCCAGCGAUGCCGCGUGAGUGAAGAAGGCCUUCGGGUCGUAAAGCUCUUUAGGUUGGGAAGAAGUGUAUAGGCUGAACACGCCUGUGCAUUGACGGUACCGACAGAAUAAGCACCGGCAAACUCUGUGCCAGCAGCCGCGGUAAUACAGAGGGUGCGAGCGUUAAUCGGAUUAACUGGGCGUAAAGGGCGCGUAGGCGGUAAGAUGUGUGUGAUGUGAAAGCCCCGGGCUUAACCUGGGAAGGGCA
rnacentral:rRNA from 1 species